rnacentral:rRNA from 1 species
GACGAACGCUGGCGGCGUGCCUAAUACAUGCAAGUAGGACGCAGUUGCGAACGGGUGAGUAACGCGUAGGUAACUACCUAUUAGAGGGGGGUAACUAUUGGAAACGCUAGCUAAUACCGCAUACUAGUAGAUGGACCUGCGUUGUAUUAGCUAGUAGGUAGGGUAAUGGCCUACCUAGGCAACGAUACAUAGCCGGCCUUGAGGGGUGGUCGGGCACACUGGGACUUGAGCACGGCCCAAGAUCCUUCGGGGGGGAGCAGUAGGGGAUCUUCGGCAAUGGGGGGAACCCUGACCGAGCAACGCCGCGUGAGUGAAGGAAGGUUUCGGAUCGUAAAGCUCUGUUGUUAAGGAAGCGGUACUUAACCAGAAAGGGACGGCUAACUACGUGCCAGCAGCCGCGGUAAUAC